rnacentral:rRNA from 1 species
UGAACGCUGGCGGCGUGCUUAACACAUGCAAGUCGAACGGGGUUAGCGAGAGCUUGCUUUAGCUAAACCUAGUGGCGGACGGGUGAGUAACGCGUGAGUAACCUGCCUUAGACUGGGGGAUAACACUUAGAAAUAGGUGCUAAUACCGCAUAAGCGCACAGUGCCGCAUGGCACAGUGUGAAAAACUCCGGUGGUCUAAGAUGGACUCGCGUCUGAUUAGCUAGUUGGUGAGGUAACGGCCCACCAAGGCGACGAUCAGUAGCCGGCCUGAGAGGGUGAACGGCCACAUUGGGACUGAGACACGGCCCAAACUCCUACGGGAGGCAGCAGUGGGGGAUAUUGCACAAUGGGCGAAAGCCUGAUGCAAGCGACGCCGCGUGAGUGAAGAAGUAUUUCGGUAUGUAAAGCUCUAUCAGCAGGGAAGAAAAUGACGGUACCUGACUAAGAAGCCCCGGCUAACUACGUGCCAGCAGCCGC